rnacentral:rRNA from 1 species
UACGUAGGGGGCAAGCGUUGUCCGGAUUUACUGGGCGUAAAGAGCGCGCAGGCGGUCGUUCAAGUCGAGUGUGAAAGCCCCCGGCUCAACUGGGGAGGGUCAUUCGAUACUGAUCGACUGGAAGGCAGGAGAGGGAAGCGGAAUUCCCGGUGUAGUGGUGAAAUGCGUAGAUAUCGGGAGGAACACCAGUGGCGAAGGCGGCUUCCUGGCCUGUUCUUGACGCUGAGGCGCGAAAGCUAGGGGAGCAAACGGG